CUUKUGUAUCAGGGUUGAUUAAUUUAUGAUUAAGAAUUUAUUUUUCCCGAAAUUAGAAGAGCUAUUUAAAAAUGUAUUUUAUUGUUUAAUAAUUAUUUAUAAUUUUUUUAUAGUAAUGAAACGUUAUUCGUUUCUAAUUAUAUCUGGUUUUUUAAGAAAUUAAUUUAAUUAAUUCCUUAUUUUAUAUAUUUAUAAUUUUUUAUUUUUUUAUUUAAGUAUGGUUUAAUUUUCAGGGGGAUAAGCUUCUGAAUUUUUUAAAAGAUUUUAUUUUUUAGGUAAUUAAUAGGAUUAGAAUUUUCUAUUUUUUGGAGGAUGUUAUAUUUAGUUACUUAAUAUUAAUUAUUUUUAUUUUCUUUAAUUUUUUAUUAAAAUAUUUAUUUUAAUUUUUAAUUUUUUGUAAUAAUGAUUAAAUUAGUAUAAAUUAAUGUAUU
rnacentral:rRNA from 1 species